CCUACGGGGGGCUGCAGUGGGGAAUAUUGCACAAUGGAGGAAACUCUGAUGCAGCGACGCCGCGUGAGCGAUGAAGGUUUUCGAAUCGUAAAGCUCUGUCCUAAGGGACGAUAAUGACGGUACCUUAGGAGGAAGCCCCGGCUAACUACGUGCCAGCAGCCGCGGUAAUACGUAGGGGGCGAGCGUUGUCCGGAUUUAUUGGGCGUAAAGGGUGCGUAGGCGGCCUUGUAAGUCAGAUGUGAAAUCUCACGGCUUAACCGUGGUAAGCAUUUGAAACUGUGAGGCUUGAGUACAGGAGAGGAGAGUGGAAUUCCUAGUGUAGCGGUGAAAUGCGUAGAUAUUAGGAGGAAUACCAGUGGCGAAGGCGACUCUCUGGACUGUAACUGACGCUGAGGCACGAAAGCGUGGGGAGCAAACAGGCUUAGAUACCCCGGUAGUC
rnacentral:rRNA from 1 species